AGUGAACGCUGGCGGUAGGCCUAACACAUGCAAGUCGAACGGCAGCACGGGAGAGCUUGCUCUCAGGGUGGCGAGUGGCGGACGGGUGAGGAAUACAUCGGAAUCUACUCUGUCGUGGGGGAUAACGUAGGGAAACUUACGCUAAUACCGCAUACGACCUACGGGUGAAAGCAGGGGACCUUCGGGCCUUGCGCGAUUGAAUGAGCCGAUGUCGGAUUAGCUAGUUGGCGGGGUAAAGGCCCACCAAGGCGACGAUCCGUAGCUGGUCUGAGAGGAUGAUCAGCCGCACUGGAACUGAGACACGGUCCAGACUCCUACGGGAGGCAGCAGUGGGGAAUAUUGGACAAUGGGCGCAAGCCUGAUCCAGCCAUACCGCGUGGGUGAAGAAGGCCUUCGGGUUGUAAAGCCCUUUUGUUGGGAAAGAAAUCCAGCUGGCUAAUACCCGGUUGGGAUGACGGUACCCAAAGAAUAAGCACCGGCUAACUUCGUGCCAGCCGCCGCGGUAA
rnacentral:rRNA from 1 species